GACGCCCUCCUCCCCAUCUCCGAUUCCUCCUCGGCCCGCGAUUCCUUCUCUCCUCGCCGCAUCCCCGUCCCCGUGCCCUUCUCCAAACUCCGCCAUCCCCGUCCCGUACUCCCUCCCUUGGAAAAGAUCAAUUGGAGGAGUAAUUCCGGCUUCAUCCGGUGGUGGCGAUGCCGGAAAAGAUCGAAUUUUUUUCGACGGGAGGAGUAAUUCCGGCUUGAUCCGGUGGUGCCGAUGCCGGAUCCUGCGACGGCGCCGACGCGAGCCACCAAGGGCCGUGGACUCCCUCUCCGGCUGCGAUUCCGCCAAACCCUGUCGUCUCGGCGUCCCAGCGACCAUCUCCGAGGCGGAUAAAAUCGUUUCUUUCGGUAGCAGCCCGAGGAGAAGGCCCGGACAAAUCCUCGGAGCAGUAAGCCCGCCGCUCUAGCACCUUUCCUCACCGCCGUCGUCAUCAAGAUCACAAGAGCAGGACUCUUUGGACGGUGCUGAAGAUUGACCGGUUGGAGUCUAUUGAUUUGGGUAUCCAGGAGUAUCCUACUAGUUACAUGGAGAAUUGAUUGUCAAGAACUAAUUUGGCGGAUUCACGAGGGAAAUAGGUUUUCUGAAGUUUCUUGGUCCUUACUACAUGGUUCCAAUUACCAGGAGAAGAAAAGUUGGCAGAAUCUGUGGUCAUUAUAUUUUUAUUCAAUUGGAAAGAGUGAAAUGGUUGCAAUAGAAAUCUGCAUUUAAGUCUUCAGCUCUCAUAUUCUUUUUGUGGUUUAUUUAUUUAUACACUCAGAGAGAGGACUGGUUAGCUUAGGCCAUCGGAGUAUCUGUUUGAUUGAUGUGAUGAAUUUCAAUUCUGCCUUGGAGUAUUUAUUUAUUGAGCUUUACCUGUCUUUUUCUCAGGUUCUCUUGGUGGUCGGAAUUUUGCAAGGUGAAGUUGGUCCUAUGAUUUCUGUCAUGAAAAUUGAAAUGACACGUUUGGAGUCUUGUUCGGAUGUCGGUGGUUUACAUGUUCCAAUUCAAGAUAUUAAAGAACCAGUUGAACUUCCCGAGCUAUAUGAGGACAUUGGAUUUAGGCCUCUCAAGGUAGUCAUACUGUAUGGGGAACAGGGAAAGCUCUACUUGCAAAGCACAACAUUCUCCACUGGUAGGCAUUCGUUGACGAGAAGCUUGGCCAAACCCAGUAGGUAUGCGUGGAAUUAUUGAGCUCAGGUUUUUUGGGAUUAAGAUUCUUACACCAAAGGAUCACUAUAUGCCAAGACUUCGAGGAUGAUAAGAGCGGAAGAUUUGGAUUUAAUUGUUAGGCUCGAUGGCUCAAAAUACGACAAGGAAUCAACUGAAAGAGGAACAUGUAUGAAUCGUACGGAAGAGCUACUAUAUGCUAUUAAGGAACGGAGGGAAUACGAGCUUUGAACUGAGAAUGGCGUUUUGGAGCUCGGCCUCCUUCGAGGCCGUUUUUUCUUAAAUUCAAAAUUCAUACUUUUUGGUAAAUUUUUUUUGUACAGUACACAAUGAUGUGAUGUGUGUGCGUAUAAAAUUUCAGAAUAAAAUACAUUGAGAUGCGAUCUAUGCACAAAAAAAAAUCAUGGACUUUUGGGAUGAAUAGUAACGUGUCUUGAAAAGCCAUUGUCUUUUUUUGCACAACCUUCAUUUUAGCGUAUUUCGUCCUGAAAAUUUACACAUGUGAGUUAUGCCUUCAUGUAUGCCUGUAUUUUUUGAAAUGUAAAAAUAUGUUUUUUUGUUGAA